UUAUUUAUUUUAUAUCACCGAUUUUGAAUGUAUGUAUUGCAAAAUAAGUAUAUGGCUUUUUUAUUAUAUUUAACCUUCUUGGUCCGUUUUUUUUUCACUUUAUCACAAUUGCGCUUAUGAGUCC